UUUAUGUCUAAUGUGAAUAAUAAAUUAAAUUUCAAAUCCAAAAUAAAUUACAAAUUAAAAUAUCAUUGUAAUAAAUUGUUAAUAAAAAAACUAACACCAAAUCACAUGUAAAAAUUAUCUAUUGGUUCAACCAGUGGUUCAACCGGUACCGGGUUUCGGGUUUUAGUGGGGUUUUACGGGUUUUUGCGGGUUUUUAAUUUUUGGGUUUUUCAUAAAACCCGAACCGGAUUUAUCUCGGGUCACCGGAUUUACCGGUUCAACCGCGGGUCCGGAUCGGGUUUCAAAACACUGGUUUUACGGUUUGAAAGCAUAAUUGAGUUAAAAGACCUAAUUAUGUUGUUGGAGGAUUUUGUAUUUUGCGGAGCAAAUCACUUUAAAUUAGAAAAGGAAAAGGACAAAGGUUUUCCAAUACUUGUGUAGCAAAAACCACGCUCUACCAGCCGCAACGGCGUCUCACACCAAAUCCUUAGCUCGUUAACAUAUGUUAACACGUGUGGGAAAAUAUUAAAAAAAAAAGAAUGGUAAGGAUCAAUCCUUAAAUAAGGGGUUUACAGAUCGAGUCCGUAUCGACGUGGCGUCUAGCCAUUGGACCGAGCAACUUAACGAAUCUGUACCCCUUCGACUUCGCAGUCACCUUGUCGAGGAUCAAUAAUCUCCGAUUUCAUUCCUCCGCCGAAGUCCCGCCGCGUCACCAGCGAGUUUAUCUGGCCGGAUCCGAAAAAUUCGAAGAAGAAGUCGAAGAAGCGAUCCAGUUUCUUCGAUCUGGACAAAAAAUUCGAGGCUGAUUUCAAAGGGUUCAAGGAUGAUGAUUAUUCUUCUUUUGACUGCGAAGAUGAAACUUUCGCGGAUGUGAAGAAGCCCUUUCUCUUCACCGCACCUACCAAACUCGUAGCUUCCCGUCCAACCACCUUUGCCACCAUUGCUAUGGUUCAUGAGAAGAAUCUUUUGUAGCUUGAAUCCAUAAAAAAUCAGUCAAAGCUGAAACCCAAUUCUUCUGUUCUCUGUAAACGCUAGCUCUCAGUUCUGUGGAGUAGCGGAGAUGAUAGGACCUGUGGAUUUUGAGAAGAGCGUUGAUUACUGGCAACAAGACAAAUGGAACGGACAGUUCCCGGUGAAGUGGCACAUCAUCAAAGACGUUCCAAACAGUCAGUUCCGCCACAUUAUAUUGGAGAACAUUGACAAUAAGCCUGUGACGAUCACUCGAGACACUCAAGAAGUGAAACUAGAACAAGGCAUUGAGAUGCUGAAGAUUUUCAAGAACUACGAUGCUGAGACUUCAAUCUUGGAUGAUUUUGGGUUUUACAAGAAUGGAAGGCAAGAAGGCAGCCAAGCUUGCCAUCUACAGGAGGAGUAGGA